GCCUGGAUAACUCAGUUGGUUAGAGCAUGGUGCUGCUAACAUCAAGAUGGCAGGUUUGAUCCCUGUAUGGGACA
rnacentral:tRNA from 1 species